UUGCAAUGAUGAUGAAACUUAGCUCACUUUGAACCGAUGUGAAACGACAAGAACUGCUGAGUAAC